UGGGGGAUAUUGCACAAUGGGCGAAAGCCUGAUGCAGCGACGCCGCGUGGGGGAUGAAGGCCUUCGGGUUGUAAACUUCUUUUGCUCUGAACAAGGCAUGCUAAUGGGUGUGUUGAGUGUAGGGGUUGAUUAGCGCCGGCUAACUACGUGCCAGCAGCCGCGGUAAUACGUAGGGCGCGAGCGUUGUCCGGAAUUAUUGGGCGUAAAGGGCUUGUAGGUGGCUGGUUGCGUCUGUCGUGAAAGCUCAUGGCUUAACUGUGGGUUUGCGGUGGGUACGGGCUGGCUUGAGUGCAGUAGGGGAGGCUGGAAUUCCUGGUGUAGCGGUGGAAUGCGCAGAUAUCAGGAGGAAUACCGGUGGCGAAGGCGGGCUCUGGGCUGUUACUGACACUGAGGAGCGAAAGCAUGGGGAGCGAACAGG
rnacentral:rRNA from 1 species